AACGUAGGACACAAGCGUUAUCCGGAGUUACUGGGCGUAAAGGGCGUGUAGGCGGAUCGGUAAGUCUACUCUGAAAGCUCCUGGCUAAACUGGGAGAGGCGAGUGGAGACUGUCGGUCUAGAGUGAGGAAGAGGAAAGUGGAAUUCCGCGUGUAGUGGUGAAAUGCGUAGAGAUGCGGAGGAACACCAGUGGCGAAGGCGGGUCUCUGGGCCGAUACUGACGCUGAGGAGCGAAAAGCGUGGGGGAGCGAACAGG
rnacentral:rRNA from 1 species